UCACUGAUGGUCCUGUGGACAGGACUUUGCACUUUCACUGCUGUGGGCCCAGGUUCAAUUCCUGGUUGGGGAA
rfam:TPA: Bos taurus chromosome 22, whole genome shotgun sequence.